GUGCUUACUUUGGCAGCACUAAAAUUAGAAUAAUACAGAGAAGAUUAGCAAGGAUGACACGAAAAUUUGUGAAGCAUUCCAUAUUUUA
rnacentral:snRNA from 1 species